rnacentral:tRNA from 1 species
GUGAGCGUAGCUCAGUUGGCAGAGCAUCAGGUUGUGGCCCUGAGGGUCAGGGGUUCGAAUCCCCUCGCUCACCCCA